GAUGAACGCUGGCGGCGUGCUUAACACAUGCAAGUCGAACGAAGCACUCUACUUGAUCUCUUCGGAGUGAUUGUUUUGUGACUGAGUGGCGGACGGGUGAGUAACGCGUGGGUAACCUGCCUCAUACAGGGGGAUAACAGUUGGAAACGACUGCUAAUACCGCAUAAGCGCACAGCAUCGCAUGAUGCAGUGUGAAAAACUCCGGUGGUAUGAGAUGGACCCGCGUCUGAUUAGCCAGUUGGUGGGGUAACGGCCUACCAAAGCGACGAUCAGUAGCCGACCUGGGAGGGGGACCGGCCACAUUGGGACUGAGACACGGCCCAAACUCCUACGGGAGGCAGCAGUGGGGAAUAUUGCACAAUGGGGGAAACCCUGAUGCAGCGACGCCGCGUGAGCGAAGAAGUAUUUCGGUAUGUAAAGCUCUAUCAGCAGGGAAGAAGAAAUGACGGUACCUGACUAAGAAGCACCGGCUAAAUACGUGCCAGCAGCCGCCGUAA
rnacentral:rRNA from 1 species